rnacentral:ncRNA from 1 species
GUGAGGGUGACUGAGCGUGGGGAGGAAGCGUGAAGCGAAACUGCGAGCCGAUGGACAAGAACCGGAUAGAAGGCGUUGCCGACCAGGGCGAGCGGGCCAGAACCCGCAAAGCUCUCGUGAUCAAGGGGCGGUGGCGUAAAUCCGGCGGUUGUGCAGUGACGGAGUGCGUUC